rnacentral:lncRNA from 1 species
UUCGAGGGCGCUGCUUGCUUUAGCAGUUUCAAUGUUAGCUUAAUUGUUUCACUCGGUACUUGCUCGCGGAAGUUUUAUUAAAGAGAAAACUGGAGCAGAGUGAACGCCCGUUGCAAGAGCAGCAUCAUAGUAGUAGUAACGGGAACGAGGGGGCCGCCGCCUAGCAUCCGGAGGAAGACCUUUGAAGACCUUAACUUUAAAGGGGUCAAAAAGAAGAAAUGCGCCCAUACAAGUGGAGACCAAAAAAAGUAUAUCGAAGAUUCCCUCAGAUGGGUAACAACAACAUCAAGCCACAGCCCCUUAGUCAGGAAGAGGACUGGGAAAAGGAGUUAGAGGAGAUUUCACAACGCAUUGAAAAGCAGAAAGAGCCUCCUUAUGAUCCUGGAGAUGAUUUGAGUACUGGAGUAAGGGAGGGGUUUCACUGUAACGUCCAGAAUGGCCCAAGCUCAAGCCAGGAACACUACAGCCCAGCAAUUCACCACAUUAAACCUGUGAAAUGGGUCCGCUUUAUUUAUGCUGUAGUGGAUGACCAGUUUGCUGAUGCAGAAGAAUAAGGCUGUUGGUUCCUUGUAUAUGUGCUUCCUUUUAGGAAAAAAAAAAUAGUUUAUAUAAAAUUUGUUUAUAAGUUACUGAGCCCAGGCUAAUGUUUUAAGUACUUUUGUUGUUUUUAGUGGCCUCUCAGUAUUUGAUGUUAAUUUAUAGUUAUGUUGAUCAAAUCAUUGCUGAGCAUUCAUAUUUGCAAGUUUAUUUCAUUCAUUCAUUUUUGCCAGUUGAAGCCAAUUUGUUUUAAUCUCUAAGCACA